rnacentral:lncRNA from 1 species
UAUUUCUAUUUUUUUUAAUACAUGGAUUUAUUGUAGUUUUGUUAUCCGAAGUAUAUGUUAUCUUCUUGUACCUGUCAUUUCAUGUCCAAAUAUUUGAAAUAAAUAGGAAAGUGUAAAUUAAACUUACCAAUUUAAAUUACAUGUCCCCGUAUCGUACUCGUAGUUUUAUAUUUGAAAGUUGAAAGUGAAUUUAACUCUAUGACCGUGUCUCAUAACAAUUAUAUCUAAUCAUGUUUUUUUUUUUAUGAGAAAUAAUUCAGAUAAUGUUUGUUUUCGAAUUAUAUGUUCCCGUAUCGUAUCCAUUCCUAUAAGUUUAUAUAUUUUUUAAAUAAAUAACACAAUUUACAUGUAACUAAAUAUAAUUUUAAUAUAUGUAAAAUUUCA